GUGCUCGCUUUGGCAGCACAUAUACUACAAUUGGAACAAUACAGAGAAGAUUACCAUGGACCCCUGCUCAAGGAUGACAUGCAAAUCCAUGAAGCAUUCCAUAUUUUU
ensembl:snRNA U6 U6 spliceosomal RNA